rnacentral:rRNA from 1 species
UACAGAGGGGGCAAGCGUUAUUCGGAAUUAUUGGGCGUAAAGGGCGCGUAGGCGGCUUUUCAAGUGACGGGUGAAAGCCCUCGGCUUAACCGAGGAACUGCCUGUCAGACUGGAAGGCUUGAGACCGGGAGAGGUGAGUGGAAUUCCCAGUGUAGCGGUGAAAUGCGUAGAUAUUGGGAGGAACAUCAGUGGCGAAGGCGGCUACCUGGACCGGUUCUGACGCUGAGGCGCGAAAGCGUGGGGAGCGAACAGG